AAAUUGAAGAGUUUGAUCAUGGCUCAGAUUGAACGCUGGCGGCAGGCCUAACACAUGCAAGUCGAACGGUAACAGGAAGCAGCUUGCUGCUUUGCUGACGAGUGGCGGACGGGUGAGUAAUGUCUGGGAAACUGCCUGAUGGAGGGGGAUAACUACUGGAAACGGUGGCUAAUACCGCAUAACGUCGCAAGACCAAAGAGGGGGACCUUCGGGCCUCUUGCCAUCAGAUGUGCCCAGAUGGGA
rnacentral:rRNA from 9 species